GACGAACGCUGGCGGCGCGCUUAACACAUGCAAGUCGAGCGAGAACCGGGGCUUCGGCCCCGGGGACAGUGGCGAACGGGUGAGUAACACGUGAGUAACCUGCCCUCGGCACCGGAAUAGCCCGGGGAAACUCGGAUUAAUGCCGGAUAGCCCCUCUGCCCUGCGGGGCGGCGGGAAAAGGUAGCUUCGGCCUCUGGCCGAGGAUGGGCUCGCGGCGGAUUAGCUUGUUGGCGGGGGAACGGCCCACCAAGGCGACGAUCCGUAGCUGGUCUGAGAGGACGAUCAGCCACACUGGGACUGAGACACGGCCCAGACUCCUACGGGAGGCAGCAGUGGGGAAUCUUGCGCAAUGGGCGAAAGCCUGACGCAGCGACGCCGCGUGCGGGAAGAAGGCCUUCGGGUUGUAAACCGCUUUCAGGAGGGACGAAGCCACUCGGGUGAACAGCCCAGAGGGUGACGGUACCUCCAGAAGAAGCCCCGGCUAACUACGUGCCAGCAGCCGCCGUAACAC
rnacentral:rRNA from 1 species